rnacentral:rRNA from 1 species
UUUAGUCUAAACAUACCACCCUGAAUGCGUCCCAUCUUGCCUGAUCUCGGAAGCUAAGCAGGGUCAGGCCUGGUUAGAACUUGGAUGGGAGUUUACUGAAC